rnacentral:rRNA from 1 species
AACGAACGCUGGCGGCAGGCUUAACACAUGCAAGUCGAACGCCCCGCAAGGGGAGUGGCAGACGGGUGAGUAACGCGUGGGAACAUACCCUUUCCUGCGCAAUAGCUCUGGGAAACUGGAAUUAAUACCGCAUACGCCCUACGGGGGAAAGAUUUAUCGGGGAAGGAUUGGCCCGCGUUGGAUUAGCUAGUUGGUGGGGUAAAGGCCUACCAAGGCGACGAUCCAUAGCUGGUCUGAGAGGAUGAUCAGCCACAUUGGGACUGAGACACGGCCCAAACUCCUACGGGAGGCAGCAGUGGGGAAUAUUGGACAAUGGGCGCAAGCCUGAUCCAGCCAUGCCGCGUGAGUGAUGAAGGCCUUAGGGUUGUAAAGCUCUUUCACCGAUGAAGAUAAUGACGGUAGUCGGAGAAGAAGCCCCGGCUAACUUCGUGCCAGCAGCCGCCGCGGUAA